ACUAAGCGUACACGGUGGAUGCCCUGGCAGUCAGAGGCGAUGAAGGACGUGCUAAUCUGCGAUAAGCGUCGGUAAGGUGAUAUGAACCGUUAUAACCGGCGAUUUCCGAAUGGGGAAACCCAGUGUGUUUCGACACACUAUCAUUAACUGAAUCCAUAGGUUAAUGAGGCGAACCGGGGGAACUGAAACAUCUAAGUACCCCGAGGAAAAGAAAUCAACCGAGAUUCCCCCAGUAGCGGCGAGCGAACGGGGAGCAGCCCAGAGCCUGAAUCAGUGUGUGUGUUAGUGGAAGCGUCUGGAAAGGCGCGCGAUACAGGGUGACAGCCCCGUACACAAAAAUGCACAUACUGUGAGCUCGAUGAGUAGGGCGGGACACGUGGUAUCCUGUCUGAAUAUGGGGGGACCAUCCUCCAAGGCUAAAUACUCCUGACUGACCGAUAGUGAACCAGUACCGUGAGGGAAAGGCGAAAAGAACCCCGGCGAGGGGAGUGAAAAAGAACCUGAAACCGUGUACGUACAAGCAGUGGGAGCCUCUUAAUGGGGUGACUGCGUACCUUUUGUAUAAUGGGUCAGCGACUUAUAUUCUGUAGCAAGGUUAACCGAAUAGGGGAGCCGAAGGGAAACCGAGUCUUAACUGGGCGUUAAGUUGCAGGGUAUAGACCCGAAACCCGGUGAUCUAGCCAUGGGCAGGUUGAAGGUUGGGUAACACUAACUGGAGGACCGAACCGACUAAUGUUGAAAAAUUAGCGGAUGACUUGUGGCUGGGGGUGAAAGGCCAAUCAAACCGGGAGAUAGCUGGUUCUCCCCGAAAGCUAUUUAGGUAGCGCCUCGUGAAUUCAUCUCCGGGGGUAGAGCACUGUUUCGGCAAGGGGGUCAUCCCGACUUACCAACCCGAUGCAAACUGCGAAUACCGGAGAAUGUUAUCACGGGAGACACACGGCGGGUGCUAACGUCCGUCGUGAAGAGGGAAACAACCCAGACCGCCAGCUAAGGUCCCAAAGUCAUGGUUAAGUGGGAAACGAUGUGGGAAGGCCCAGACAGCCAGGAUGUUGGCUUAGAAGCAGCCAUCAUUUAAAGAAAGCGUAAUAGCUCACUGGUCGAGUCGGCCUGCGCGGAAGAUGUAACGGGGCUAAACCAUGCACCGAAGCUGCGGCAGCGACACUAUGUGUUGUUGGGUAGGGGAGCGUUCUGUAAGCCUGUGAAGGUGUACUGUGAGGUAUGCUGGAGGUAUCAGAAGUGCGAAUGCUGACAUAAGUAACGAUAAAGCGGGUGAAAAGCCCGCUCGCCGGAAGACCAAGGGUUCCUGUCCAACGUUAAUCGGGGCAGGGUGAGUCGACCCCUAAGGCGAGGCCGAAAGGCGUAGUCGAUGGGAAACAGGUUAAUAUUCCUGUACUUGGUGUUACUGCGAAGGGGGGACGGAGAAGGCUAUGUUGGCCGGGCGACGGUUGUCCCGGUUUAAGCGUGUAGGCUGGUUUUCCAGGCAAAUCCGGAAAAUCAAGGCUGAGGCGUGAUGACGAGGCACUACGGUGCUGAAGCAACAAAUGCCCUGCUUCCAGGAAAAGCCUCUAAGCAUCAGGUAACAUCAAAUCGUACCCCAAACCGACACAGGUGGUCAGGUAGAGAAUACCAAGGCGCUUGAGAGAACUCGGGUGAAGGAACUAGGCAAAAUGGUGCCGUAACUUCGGGAGAAGGCACGCUGAUAUGUAGGUGAAGUCCCUUGCGGAUGGAGCUGAAAUCAGUCGAAGAUACCAGCUGGCUGCAACUGUUUAUUAAAAACACAGCACUGUGCAAACACGAAAGUGGACGUAUACGGUGUGACGCCUGCCCGGUGCCGGAAGGUUAAUUGAUGGGGUUAGCGGUAACGCGAAGCUCUUGAUCGAAGCCCCGGUAAACGGCGGCCGUAACUAUAACGGUCCUAAGGUAGCGAAAUUCCUUGUCGGGUAAGUUCCGACCUGCACGAAUGGCGUAAUGAUGGCCAGGCUGUCUCCACCCGAGACUCAGUGAAAUUGAACUCGCUGUGAAGAUGCAGUGUACCCGCGGCAAGACGGAAAGACCCCGUGAACCUUUACUAUAGCUUGACACUGAACAUUGAGCCUUGAUGUGUAGGAUAGGUGGGAGGCUUUGAAGUGUGGACGCCAGUCUGCAUGGAGCCGGCCUUGAAAUACCACCCUUUAAUGUUUGAUGUUCUAACGUUGGCCCCUGAUCGGGGUUGCGGACAGUGUCUGGUGGGUAGUUUGACUGGGGCGGUCUCCUCCUAAAGAGUAACGGAGGAGCACGAAGGUUGGCUAAUCCUGGUCGGACAUCAGGAGGUUAGUGCAAUGGCAUAAGCCAGCUUGACUGCGAGCGUGACGGCGCGAGCAGGUGCGAAAGCAGGUCAUAGUGAUCCGGUGGUUCUGAAUGGAAGGGCCAUCGCUCAACGGAUAAAAGGUACUCCGGGGAUAACAGGCUGAUACCGCCCAAGAGUUCAUAUCGACGGCGGUGUUUGGCACCUCGAUGUCGGCUCAUCACAUCCUGGGGCUGAAGUAGGUCCCAAGGGUAUGGCUGUUCGCCAUUUAAAGUGGUACGCGAGCUGGGUUUAGAACGUCGUGAGACAGUUCGGUCCCUAUCUGCCGUGGGCGCUGGAGAACUGAGGGGGGCUGCUCCUAGUACGAGAGGACCGGAGUGGACGCAUCACUGGUGUUCGGGUUGUCAUGCCAAUGGCACUGCCCGGUAGCUAAAUGCGGAAGAGAUAAGUGCUGAAAGCAUCUAAGCACGAAACUUGCCCCGAGAUGAGUUCUCCCUGACUCCUUGAGAGUCCUGAAGGAACGUUGAAGACGACGACGUUGAUAGGCCGGGUGUGUAAGCGCAGCGAUGCGUUGAGCUAACCGGUACUAAUGAACCGUGAGGCUUAACC
rnacentral:rRNA from 2 species